UACGUAGGGUGCAAGCGUUGUCCGGAAUUAUUGGGCGUAAAGAGCUCGUAGGCGGUCUGUCACGUCGGCUGUGAAAACCCGAGGCUCAACCUCGGGCCUGCAGUCGAUACGGGCAAACUAGAGUGUUGCAGGGGAGACUGGAAUUCCUGGUGUAGCGGUGAAAUGCGCAGAUAUCAGGAGGAACACCAAUGGCGAAGGCAGAUCUCUGGGCCGUAACUGACGCUGAGGAGCGAAAGCAUGGGGAGCGAACAGG
rnacentral:rRNA from 1 species